UAUAAUGUGCCAUUUAUUUGUUCCUAGCUCAUAGGGAUUCUGAGUUUCUCUCAAUAGACGAAAUUGGGACAGCCCAGAAAGAUAUUGGGAGGAAUGAGUUCAUGGAAAAACACCUGUAUUUCUUUUGAAAUAUUUUCGAUUAGCCUCUACAACAAAUUCAACUGAUUCAUUUGUAAUGAAAAUUUUUAUAAUUUGAAUUUCCGCAGGCACUGCCCACCCUGAGGUACUUAUUCAAGUACAGAAUAAGUAGACUACAAUAUCAAGAUGCAAUCAAAGUGGAAAUGCUGAUUCUGAGUCUAGUGGAAUUGAAACCGAAAACUGAAGCUUCGGACAUGUUCACAAUUGGAACAAAACUUCUUCCAUCAAUCUUUGGUUUCGUGACAACUUACGUUUUAGUGGCCAUGCAAUUCAGGGCACUCUGGCAGGAAAAGGAUUAAUAUAUUAUAUAUCAAUAUCAAUACACCUAUUUUAAUCUCGCAUCACCUUAUUAGUAGAAUUUUGUAAAACUUUUUUGUACCAU